AGUGAACGCUGGCGGUAGGCCUAACACAUGCAAAUCGAACGGCAGCACAGUAAGAGCUUGCUCUUACGGGUGGCGAGUGGCGGACGGGUGAGGAAUACAUCGGAAUCUACUUUUUCGUGGGGGAUAACGUAGGGAAGCUUACGCUAAUACCGCAUACGACCUACGGGUGAAAGCAGGGGAUCUUCGGACCUUGCGCGAUUGAAUGAGCCGAUGUCGGAUUAGCUAGUUGGCGGGGUAAAGGCCCACCAAGGCGACGAUCCGUAGCUGGUCUGAGAGGAUGAUCAGCCACACUGGAACUGAGACACGGUCCAGACUCCUACGGGAGGCAGCAGUGGGGAAUAUUGGACAAUGGGCGCAAGCCUGAUCCAGCCAUACCGCGUGGGUGAAGAAGGCCUUCGGGUUGUAAAGCCCUUUUGUUGGGAAAGAAAAGCAGCAGGUUAAUACCCCGCUGUUCUGACGGUACCCAAAGAAUAAGCACCGGCUAACUUCGUG
rnacentral:rRNA from 1 species